GCUACGCAGAUGCAGAGGGCGAAAGCAGACUACUGAGGGAGACGCUUCUUUUUAGAUCGUUCUGCUUCUCGGGCUGAUUCUUCUCGCGACCGCAGACUGGACGCGUAUGGGUGCGCCUCAUUCCUUGUGUGCCUCACCAUGAGCGACGCUUUCGAGACCCGUAUGAGCGCGAUGCGAGCUCGCCUGUCGAGCCUAUGCCACACCGUCGAAGAACGGGAAGAGGAACAGCAGCAGCAGCGUCGCGUUUUCGAGCAUCGCUACUUUAUGGAGGCGAGAGCAGUAGGCUCUUCGGCGGCACCCGCGGCCACAAAGCCGAUAGCUUCCACGUCUACACCGCCAUCGUCGGCGCCUAUCUCAAGGCCAGUCACGAGCAAGAGUCAAGUGCCGCGCACAGAUGGUAUCAGCGAACGCGACGUGAAUCAAGUGCACAGCGCCCCAAGAAAGGAUGCUGCUUUUGGUCACCACUUCGACACGAGCAGCCCGCCAGCCUUCAUCACACGCACCUGUGCAGCGAAGCCUGGACCUGGAGUGAAUGCGAUGCUGCAGCUUGCACGGCACCACGCUUCCGGCUCCUUGUCAGAGGCUGGCGUAACAAACGACAUCGUACGCUUCAGGGGUGGUCUGCCAAGCUCGGUGCCCAAAGCCCCUGCCACGGUUUCCCCCGGAGCCUUCGCUGUCAACGCAGGACAAGAUAACAUGGAUUCUUCGCCCGUUCCAUUCAUGGCGUGUGGCGUUGCCGGUUCGCAUUCGUGUGGGUUUCCAGAGCGGUUUCCAAGCCCUCGCCGACCCACGGCGUCACUCGCCGCGAACACGGUGAAUCUGACCCCCCGCAAUGGCGAAGGAUGCACGCCACAGAACACUCCUCGCGAGGAGUCGCGCAUCACAGCAGCCGACGCCACGAUCGUUGGCACGAUGCUUGCCGAUGAGGCGACCUCUUUUGAUGCCUUCCGCGUCGUACAGGAGCGGUUGCGGCAGAAGAUGAUGCAGCUCACGACUUCCUCUCCUCACUCCGUCGUGCCGUUAUCAACGAGAGGGGCUCCCGCCGAGUCUGCCGUGAGUGAUGACGCAACAGCGCCCCGGGAAGAGCUUCCUCACAGAGGCCUCACCGAGUCUCGUGCGGUGAGUGAUGCUGACGAUUCAAGUCCUUCACCUCGGCCACCACCGGGCACGCGCGCUGAAACGGCCACCCCGACGCGCUCGCCGGGCGAGGAUGACUCUUUCUCGCACGACACUGCCCCACUCCCACCGACAUCGUCGUGGUGCCAGCAUGAUCAAGGUGACUCCUCGGUGGAUGUGGAAGUGCUCCCGGCGGCCGCGGAGCCUGCCACCGAAAAUGCGAGCGAGACUCGGCUCUUUACUCAUGGGUUUCUACAUGACUCUGUAGCAGGCGACGGCGACGAGACGACGGCGGUGUCGCGCGAAUGGCAGUGGUCGCGGUGCGGCGCGCAAUCCACCAAAGCAGGCACGGCGAAUGCGCCGCGUGGCGUCUUCCGCGACCCGACCGCUCAUCACCUCAGGACCUCACGGAUGCCGUCAAGCGAUGCGCACUUCGACCCAACCGCCGGGGAACAGCGGGUGAGCUCGCGCGAGUACCGUCGGUCACCUGAGGCAGCGAUGGCAGGGCGCGUACAAGGUGAUCGAGGGAGGAGUGGGCGGACGACUGCAUCGAGUCAGCAUCGUGUCUCCUCAGCGCCGCGACGCUCCGGGUCUCGGCACGCGCCGUCGUCAACAUCAGCGGCGCGCUGGCCUGCGACGCGGGAGGGGAGUACGUCCACGGCUGCCAGGUCACGCAAGUCAGCGCCGAAGGCAGCUGCACGACCAAAGCCGAUUUCUCUGAACGUGGAGGCUACUAUUCUCUGCCCCGUCACCGGUGCGGAGCUGUUUGCCCUUCUGCGAAUGCGCGGGCUCAUCGACUCUGAGGGCGACACGGAGGAGUACCGGCUCCCACCUGUGCGCUGCCACCGCUUGUACGUGACAGCCGAGGAGCACCGCCAGCUGAAACUGCUUCGGCAGUCCUUACACUCCCUGGUCGCCGAGGAGCAGCGCCAGGACAUCCCAUCCUAUCAGCGCGUCACGGUCUCUGCGCGGUCACGAAACGCCGAGUUCGCACCCCCGCCACCGGUGCUUCGCUUCAUGGAUGUGUAAGCGAAAACGCAGCUGUUUCUUGUGCCUCUUGGCCUCCUGGGCUUGUCAUUCAGUGCUUUUCAUAGACGUCCUCCUUUGCUUCAUGAUGUCAGGAGGACACCAUCGCCGUGUCUUUUAUCACGCCGCUCGCGCCGUGCCGGCAAUGCUGUCGUGUGGCGUGCAUCUUCGCCCCGCCGCCGCUGGACGUUCGCGCUGUGUGUGUUCUUCUUUUACUGUUGUUUUGGAUAAAUAGAUCCGCAUUCACUUUUGGUGCCCACCGUUUCCUUUUCUUUUUUUGGGUGGGGGGUGGGGGGAGGGAGCGGGGGGAGGGUCGCAACGACGACGGCGUCCGCCCCCCCCCCCCCUCCUCCUCCCCGGCCCGUCCCCUAGAGACCAAAGCGGGCACGCGUCGGUACCCUUUGCCGUAGGCACCGACGCCCGCACGCGAUGAGAGACGGAGCUGUGCGUUUUUGUAGUCUUGCG
rnacentral:misc_RNA from 1 species